ACUCACUCUCCUGCCGCCUUGUGAAGAAGGUGCCUGCUUUCUCUUCUGCCAUAAUUGACUCUGUAUCUUGCUGCACUCUCUCUUGCCUUCUUAGCUUGGAUUCUUUGAUGAAACAAACCACCAUAUUGGAGCAUUCCACCUGCCAAAGAACUGAAGGCAAGCUUCAGCCAACAGCCAGCAAGGAACUAAGAUCUUCAGCCCAAAGCCACAGGGAACUGAGUCCUGCCAACCACCACAUCAGUGAGCAUAGAUGGGAUCCUCCACAGUUGAACUUUCAGAUGAGACCAGAGCCACACCUGACAAUUUGAUUGCAGCCUUGCAGACAAUCCUGAAGCAGAGGACCCAGUUCAAUCAUGCUGGGAUUCCUGACCCACAGAAUCCAUGAGAAAAUAAAUGUGUGUGUUUAAGCCUCUACAUUUUGAGGCAAUUUGUUAUACAGCAAGAGAUAAUGAAUGAAUACUUUUGUUACUUUUCAUUUUAGGUAAAUUAUUUCUACUUUGCAAGUUUGUGUAAUAAGCCUAGUAAAUCCUUCUGUAGUCACGAAAUAAUACAGAAGUAAGAAAAAAAAUCCCAUUUUCUUGAAUGAGAAACCAAGGUGCUGAUAUAACAUUG
rnacentral:lncRNA from 1 species